AGAAGAAGAAGAAGAAGGCGGUGGCUUAUCUAGGAAGGGUGAAGAGGACGGCGGUGAUGGAGGCGGAGCGAGAAAGUUGGCAACGCCACGCAAUUGGCGGGCGAAAGACUCGCCGAUAACAGAAAAAUCCUCUUUAACUCCCCCGCCGCGAAUCGUGGGGCUAUCGUGUGCGUGGCGUUGGGGCGCUGGUGAUGAUGGAAAAGGAGAAGAGUCUGGAUCGUCGUAUUGUAGAGAGUUGAAGAACCAAGACAUUUUGGGUGGAAUUGACUUAGGGAUUUCUCAGAGGGACAUUAGAAGGAGAUUAUGUACGUGAAACUGAAGCUGAAGCAGAAGCAGAAACCAAAGCCUUGCUGUUUUGGUGUCCAGGUGUUU
rnacentral:misc_RNA from 1 species